UCGAUGCCUCCAACCCCCAACCUCCUCCCUGGCUCCCGGCGCCGCCCGCCCCUAUCUCCUCCUCGAUCCCAGCACCGCCCGCCCCCAUCUCCUCCCCGAUCCCAGCGCCGCCCGCCCCCAUCUCCUCCCUCACUCCCGGUGCUGACCCCGCCCCCACCUUCUCCCUCACUCCAUAGCCCGCGCCCGCAUUCUUCCUCCCCCAUCUCGUCUCAUCUCCAGUCGCUGUAGAGGAUCCCCGUUUUGUGCCGCCACCAUGGUUGGCCUGCAGCGAGUAGCAGAGGACCUAGCCGCCGCGUCCGACCUCAACUGUCGCCCGAAACCCUAGCCCCUCCUUCCAACGCCAGGCCCGACUCAUCUCUGCUUGUGCACAACAAGGAAGGCCACGGAGACGCUGCUCCCUAUGUUCAGCGCGUGGACGAACGAUGCAGCGUUGGGGAUGACUCAUGGAUGCCUCUGUUUGUGCAGAUUGGGUACUCUGGAGCACAUGGGAGGAGGAGAAGGAUGGGAGGUGUGUAGAAUUCGGCGCCAAGGGAGACGAUCGAGAUGGUGGAGCAGAAUCCAGAGGACGACGGGAGACCAGGUGUUCUGGCCCAACUUCUUAUUUUCCUUCUUUGUGGUCUGUCUGCUGCAGUGAGCGGGGGAUUGCUAACUUUGUGAUUGCCGCACAGGUAACCUGCUGAGCCGACACCGAUGCCAAGUGUGGCAAUGCCUCUUCCGAUGAUUGGGAGGGCGAGUUCUUCCUGGGCUUUACCAAAAUCAACUAUGAGCAAGAGGAUGCUUUCUUACAAGUGGUAUAACGCGGAGGAAGUGAUUCUUGUAAAGAAAAUGUUAGGUUGCGGUUCAGUGUGGCAUUCUGGCAUAUGUUUCGGGGUACUGGAGGAGAUCCUUUUGGUGCACCUACAAAGAACCGGCCUUGGGAGGAUGGCACAAAUUCCCUGGCCAUGGCUAAGAGAAGAAGUAUGGGAAUUACCUGAUCUUUUGUCUUAGGUCCAUGGUUGGAGUCAACAACUUAUGCUUCGAUUUCUGUUUCGGUGAUAUCUCAAUUCGAGUUCAUGAAGAAGCUUGGAGUUGACAGGUGGUGCUUCCAUGAGAGGGACAUCGCCCCUGAUGGGAAAACACUCGCGGUAUGAUUUUAUUAGAAUGAUUCUUGAAUUUGCAAGUUGCAACCUUGAGUUAGGGGAAUUGAGACGGGUAGCGACCGACAUUAGAGCAGGUUUAUUAUGAUUGUAUUUACAAGGGUACAUGACUAUGUUUUCAGCACAAGGAAUAUGGUUGUUGAUGGUUUAUGCCCUGGCUGUGCCCACAUCGUCCCGACACCAAGUUCGAGACCAAGUUCUAACCCCUGUACCCAAUCUACCUCCAUGGAUCUUGUCUCUCACUAACCAAGAGCAUCAAUUCAACUCAACAGAUUGACAGAAGAGAUGAACCUAGAGUUUGAGGCUUGGGUAGUGUGGACAUUGACCUGAUGAUGAGUGUUGUAUGGUGGUCAAGUGGUGCCACUUCCCCUCGCCACACGCUGCUUAGUCUGCUCAUUGAAGGUGCUCUCUGUUGGUGUUUGGCUGCUGCUGCUGCUGUAGGUCAAGGCAUUUACGUAGCAUCUUCUUGCAAUGGAUUUUGUUUUAUGGCUAUAUACAAAUUAUUUUGGUAUAGAUUUGUGAUUUUUGUUCCGUCCACCUAACCCAGUAUAUAGUAGCAGCUUUUGAUGUCCUUUCCUCACCGGUGAAUGUAAAAAUUUAUCAUGUGUGCAAUUUUUUUACUGUAGUACGAAUAGUUGUAACAUAUUCUCUUUAGCCUUGCAGCUCAUAGCAUCCGCUUGAUUCAGUGAGUUUGAUUCAGCUGUACAAGUUAGGAAUCCAAAGAAGUUGGCUCAGAAUAGAUAAAUAUGUGUCCACAGAUUAUUCAUAGUAAUUUGGUUACUUAAAUGCCUAGGAUUAGAUGCAUAAUAUUGCGUGAGCACGACAGGACAAUUUUGUAAAAAAAAAUGAUCUGACCUGAAGCCUAUAUGCCAUUUAAGCACUGAUUUUUUUUCUAACUUCAGAAACCUAGAGUUGUUUCCUGCUCUCCAAUAUGCUUUGUCAUCAAAUUUGUGUAUUUAAAUCUGGAACAGCAGAACUAUGAGAAUUCAGAUAAAUAAGAAUUGUUCAUGUUUUACCAACGGGGCAUGCGAUGAUUACUUCGGUGGAGACAUAUUUAAGAAUGGUGUUGAUCACUGAAUGCCCUUGAUGUAUGCCAAGGUAAAAUACUGGAAAAAAACAUUUUCUUUAUCCUGCAGGAACAAGCCAGUAGUUAUAGGAAUUUAUCUUUAUUUCUUGAUAUAUGCAGACAACGAUGUUCACUUAGGUAGUUUUGGAAUAAUUAUCUUUCGUGCUUACUGCAAGGUAGAAAUAUGGUUGACGAUACACACCCAUUGGCAAAGUUUGAACCAGAGACAGUUACCUAAAACCAUUGCUUCACACCGAGCCGACCUACUUCUCAAAACUUUUUCAAUUUCAGUUUACUGAAUAAUUUUUUCUUGCUGAAACUAGAAGAAGGGAGCAAGCGGCAGAAGAUUAUGAUGUUGCUGCUAUUGGGAGACGCAGUAAAAUAUGGACAAGUUCCUGUAUUUUAUGGAAGGUGUAGUAUUGAAGCUUCUUGCACUGAUCUAGAAUGGAUCUUGACUUAGCCCAAGAGUGAGGUAUAUUGAUAUUAAUGGCACAUAAUUACAUACUGAUAGGAGAACUGGUUGCGGUUUGUCAUUAUUUCCUUGCAUCUACAGGUAGCUCAUCUACUUUUGGUUCAUGCAAUGAAUAUUUCGUGUCUACAGUUUGUCGUGUGCACCUACAUAUCAAGAAAUAUUUUAUUGGUGCAAAUUGAUAUUUGAAUUUUAAAUAGGGACGUCAACUUCAAAAAAGCAUUAGCAGGCUUGUUAAAUGCAUGAAGUAUUGAUCAUGAGCUAAUGAGCUAUGUUAAACAGAGUAGCUUAGAAGGAUGCCCAGAACUCACCCAUUUCAGUUGAGGACAUGCAAUCUAAGCCUUCCAUGGUUCUGUUAGAUGGUUUUUUUUAGUUUCUAUGGUUGUGUAUAGAUAAUUUGGUUUAAGCACUAAUAUGUUCAGGUUAUAGUUUUUGAGCAUCUGAUUACUAUUCCUAUUAUAUAUAUUUAUGUGCUUUUCCAUGAUUUUUCUACUUGGUAGACAAGGGCCUGAAAUGCAGCUCGGCCCAUUAUUUGUUAUCAGACAUCAUGCUUGGUUAUUCACAGUAGAGUGCUCCAAAAAUUCUUUUGAUUCCUUAGUGGUACCUAAAUUAAAUAAAAUCUACUGUUCCAUAUUUUUACUCUUCAAAUCAUUAACGUUUAAUCUUCCAUAUUGACGACAGAAAUAAAUUUUAUCCGCUUGAUUUAUGAAGUGCACGGUCUGUCAGCAUAUUCUGUAGGUCUUUCAGAUGUGAAAGCGCAUGUUACCUAAGAAAUCAUUAUCUCUCAAGCAUACUCACAUUGGACCAAGAACUAGGCGAGGUUCAGACUUCAGAGAAAUGAUAACAAGUCUCCUUUUCAUUCGAGCGGGGCGAUGAGGGAAAGAACUGGUUGUGGUGAAAGUCAGUUUAGUGCAUCAAGGAUUGGAAGUUCUGAGAUUUGCAAGAGGUGAUGGAGGAUGUUUAGUUACUUUGGCUCAUGAUAUAGUACUGGAAGAUGAGUACAAGCAUAAGCUUAUUCAAAAUCUGAAGUUCCUGACUACACGAGACAUGUACUACCUCUGUUCCUACAUAUAAUUCCUUUUAGAGAUUCCACUAUAGAGACUAGAUUCAGAUGUAUAUAGACGCCUUUUAGAGUAUAUGUUCGCUCAUUUUGCUCUGUAUGUAGUCUAUAGUGAAAUCUCCAAAAAGACUUAUAUUUAGGAACGGAGGGAGUAUUUUGUAAUUUUUUUCUUUUUCUUGUUUUUCAUUUUCUUCUACUUAUUUUCAAUUUGAACGAACGGAGGGAACAACAUGAAGAUGGGUAGCACUAUACAGUUUUAUAGCAGUAACAUUUUCCAAGCUUCUUAAAUUUGGUAUCUAUGAAUAGUUGAUUUGUUCGUUUUGAUUUAUAGCCUUGUAGAUGUUCACCUCUCUACCAGAUUUCCAUAAUGGAAUGUCGUCCGGUGUAUUCGAUGGGCAGCUCAGCUUGCACGUGAAUUGGACAUGGCAAAGCUUAUCUUGGAGCAGACUCAAAAACAGUGGCGGCUAAAUUAAGAAGCUCGGAAAUUGAUAGAUCAGUCUAUGGCCUAUUGCUGAGGAGGUAAAGGAGUGCAUGCGAUCAAGAGAGGAGUUUCAGGGUGGCAUGGGUGAGAUGCUUGACUAAUGGAGCUUCUCUUGGGCUAACUAAAGAGGAUUGUGCGAAUAAGUUAUGUGAAACUUGGGCCAGGUACAUAUCAGAUUGUAUUUGUGAUGUUUUUGGUCUCGGAUCGUGCUGAAAUGAAUGAAUAAAACAA